GAUUGAACGCUGGCGGCAUGCCUUACACAUGCAAGUCGAACGGCAGCACGGGUGCUUGCACCUGGUGGCGAGUGGCGAACGGGUGAGUAAUACAUCGGAACAUGUCCUGUAGUGGGGGAUAGCCCGGCGAAAGCCGGAUUAAUACCGCAUACGAUCUACGGAUGAAAGCGGGGGACCUUCGGGCCUCGCGCUAUAGGGUUGGCCGAUGGCUGAUUAGCUAGUUGGUGGGGUAAAGGCCUACCAAGGCGACGAUCAGUAGCUGGUCUGAGAGGACGACCAGCCACACUGGGACUGAGACACGGCCCAGACUCCUACGGGAGGCAGCAGUGGGGAAUUUUGGACAAUGGGCGAAAGCCUGAUCCAGCAAUGCCGCGUGUGUGAAGAAGGCCUUCGGGUUGUAAAGCACUUUUGUCCGGAAAGAAAUCCUUGGCUCUAAUACAGUCGGGGGAUGACGGUACCGGAAGAAUAAGCACCGGCUAACUACGUGCCAGCAGCCGCGGUAAUACGUAGGGUGCGAGCGUUAAUCGGAAUUACUGGGCGUAAAGCGUGCGCAGGCGGUUUGCUAAGACCGAUGUGAAAUCCUCGGGCUCAACCUGGGAACUGCAUUGGUGACUGGCAUGCUAGAGUAUGGCAGAGGGGGGUAGAAUUCCACGUGUAGCAGUGAAAUGCGUAGAGAUGUGGAGGAAUACCGAUGGCGAAGGCAGCCCCCUGGGCCAAUACUGACGCUCAUGCACGAAAGCGUGGGGGAGCAAACAGGAUUAGAUACCCUGGUAGUCCACGCCCUAAACGAUGUCAACUAGUUGUUGGGGAUUCAUUUCCUUAGUAACGUAGCUAACGCGUGAAGUUGACCGCCUGGGGAGUACGGUCGCAAGAUUAAAACUCAAAGGAAUUGACGGGGACCCGCACAAGCGGUGGAUGAUGUGGAUUAAUUCGAUGCAACGCGAAAAACCUUACCUACCCUUGACAUGGUCGGAAUCCCGCUGAGAGGUGGGAGUGCUCGAAAGAGAACCGGCGCACAGGUGCUGCAUGGCUGUCGUCAGCUCGUGUCGUGAGAUGUUGGGUUAAGUCCCGCAACGAGCGCAACCCUUGUCCUUAGUUGCUACGCAAGAGCACUCUAAGGAGACUGCCGGUGACAAACCGGAGGAAGGUGGGGAUGACGUCAAGUCCUCAUGGCCCUUAUGGGUAGGGCUUCACACGUCAUACAAUGGUCGGAACAGAGGGUUGCCAACCCGCGAGGGGGAGCUAAUCCCAGAAAACCGAUCGUAGUCCGGAUUGCACUCUGCAACUCGAGUGCAUGAAGCUGGAAUCGCUAGUAAUCGCGGAUCAGCAUGCCGCGGUGAAUACGUUCCCGGGUCUUGUACACACCGC
rnacentral:rRNA from 1 species